rnacentral:snRNA from 1 species
GUGCUCGCUUCGGCAGCACGUAUACUAAAAUUGGAAUGAUACAGAGAAGAUUAGCAUCCUCCCUGUGCCAGGAUNACACGCAAAUUCAUAAAGAGUUCCACAUUUAA